UCUCCGUAGGUGAACCUGCGGAGGGAUCAUUAAUGUAUGUGCUUCGAGGUGGGAAACCGCCCUGCAUGCAUAUCCAUACCAUUGCUUGUAUACUCCAUGUUGCUUCCCCGGGUUUCGUCCCGGGAGAGGCCUCUUGUCUUGUUUAUAUUUUGAGUCAGUCAUACAAAACAACUUAAUUAAACCCACUAGCAACGGAUCUCUUGGUUCUGGCAUCGAUGAAGAACGCAGC
rnacentral:misc_RNA from 1 species